CUUAAUUGGCGUUUACAUAUUUUCAUUUAGGACUUUAUAUCUAAAUUUUUUAGUCUUUUAUUAUAGUUGAUCUGAGUAGUAUUAGGAGUGCAUAAUUUUCUUUUUAAGUGAAAUCUUUUGGAGAGUUUUUUGUAGUAAUGACGAAUUUAGUGCCAGCACUUGCGGUUAAACUAAGAUUUUAGGAAAAUAUUUAUUAAGGUAAAUAAUUAAUAGAAGAGGGGUAGUAGAAUUAGGUGAAAUUUUUUUCCUUAUAUGAUUUUUAAUAUUUUAGAAAAGUGAGAGCACGAACUAGGAUUAGAUACCCUAUUACACUCAAUACACACUUCCUUGGGAGAUUAGAGAUAAAAUUUGAAAAUUUGGCGGCUUUUUAAAUUAGAGGAACUUGUCUAUUGAAUUGAUAAUCCUCACUAUUUUGGUUUUUAGAUUAUUUUUGUAUACCAUCAUUUUAAUAAUUUUUCAAUAAACAAUUAUUUUGAUUAUUUUAAAAAAGCUAGAUCAAGGUGCAGACAUAUUUAAAAUUAGAUUAGUUACAAUAAUUAGUUAAACAUUGUUAAAUAAAUUUUUUAGUGAAGGGUGGAUUUAAAUGUAAUAUGUGUAUAUGUAUGAAAAUUAAUAAUUUAGUGUACAAAUUGCCCGUCACUCUCUUUUGGGAUAAGUCGAAACAAAGUAGAAGCACCUGAAGGUGCUUCU
rnacentral:ncRNA from 1 species